rnacentral:rRNA from 1 species
UACGGGGGGAGCAAGCGUUGUUCGGAUUCAUUGGGCGUAAAGGGCGCGUAGGCGGCUUGGCAAGUCCGUCAUGAAAUGUACCGGUUCAACCGGGGCACUGUGUCGGAAACUGCCUGGCUUGAGGUCGAGGGAGGAGAGUGGAAUUCCUGGUGUAGCGGUGAAAUGCGUAGAUAUCAGGAGGAACACCAAUGGCGAAGGCAGCUCGCUGGGACGGUACUGACGCUGAGGCGCGAAAGCGUGGGGAGCAAACAGG